rnacentral:rRNA from 1 species
UAUAUUAGAUUAGCUAGUUGGUGGAGUAAUAGCCUACCAAGGCAAUGAUCUAUAGCUGAUCUGAGAGGAUGAUCAGCCACACUGGAACUGAGAUACGGUCCAGACUCCUACGGGAGGCAGCAGUGGGGAAUAUUGGACAAUGGGCGAAAGCCUGAUCCAGCCAUGCCGCAUGAGUGAAGAAGGCCUUUGGGUUGUAAAGCUCUUUUAGUGAGGAAGAUAAUGACGGUACUCACAGAAGAAGUCCUGGCUAACUCCGUGCCAGCAGCCGCGGUAAUACGGAGAGGGCUAGCGUUAUUCGGAAUUAUUGGGCGUAAAGGGCGCGUAGGCUGGUUAAUAAGUUAAAAGUGAAAUCCCGAGGCUUAACCUUGGAAUUGCUUUUAAAACUAUUAAUCUAGAGAUUGAAAGAGGAUAGAGGAAUUCCUGAUGUAGAGGUAAAAUUCGUAAAUAUUAGGAGGAACACCAGUGGCGAAGGCGUCUAUCUGGUUCAAAUCUGACGCUGAAGCGCGAAGGCGUGGGGAGCAAACAGGAUUAGAUACCCUGGUAGUCCACGCUGUAAACGAUGAAUGUUAAAUAUGGGAAGUUUACUUUCUGUAUUACAGCUAACGCGUUAAACAUUCCGCCUGGGGACUACGGUCGCAAGAUUAAAACUCAAAGGAAUUGACGGGGACCCGCACAAGCGGUGGAGCAUGUGGUUUAAUUCGAUG